AUGCGUGUAUACGUAUAUGUAUGCGUAUAUAUGUGUAUAUAUAUAUAUGUGUGUACACACACACACACACACACACACACACACACACACACAC
rnacentral:miRNA from 1 species